rnacentral:misc_RNA from 1 species
CCGACAUGCCAUCUUUCACUAUCUUCAAUAAAUAUAAUCAUCAAUUAUAAGUUAUACUACCUAUUAACCCUUAGAUCACUUAAUACAAACUUAAAUAUCUUUUCAGUCUACUAUAGACAUAACUCAAUAUAUUUACUGUUAUAACAUUAUACUAUAAAAUGUGUCUUCAACUAUAUGAGUAAUAGCCCUCUCAUCGAUGGACAAGAAUUCUUUCCUCUUGAAU